rnacentral:lncRNA from 1 species
UGUUCUUUUUUACUCCUCUCCCCCUUCCUCUUUCAAUCAUAUUCAUUGCUCUCUCUCUCCCUCUCUUAUCUCUUCAUUCUUAUUCUUUCUCUUAAGAAAAUUAUUAUUAUUUUUGUUAUCAAUACUCAUGUAAGCACAUUUUCUUAUCUCAUCUUUGCUUCCACUUAUAUACUCUAGUUUUCUGUGAAACUGUUCUGAUUAAUUAAACAUCAAGGCCAAAUUGCUUAAAUCUUUUCUUUUCCAACUUACCUUUUCACCUUUUUCCUUCGUGUCAAACAGUUAUUCAUUUUUAGAUUUUCUUUUUUUAACUGUAUAAAUACACUUGACCAAAGAAGCAUGCUCAAAUUUCCGGCCGGCUUCAUCCUCCUUGUAAAAUAGGAGAUUCCAAUCCAGCAUGGAAUUUAAUCAGGCCGGCUUAUAAAAUAUUAAGCGAUCAAUAUAUCAAAAUUGCCGUCGUUAUGUUAAUUCAAAAUGUUUCAUCCUUCGUUCGCCUACUAAUGUAGUUACUAAAAGUUGAAUCCGGGUUCAUUUGUUACAAUAAUUUCGAGAAGCUAAGGGUCAAAUGGGUUUGAAUAUUAGUAGUAAUUCCACAGUUAAUUAAGUAUUAGAUUUGCUGGAAACAAUUUGGAAUUGUAAUCUAAUCCAAAUGUAAUUAGCAUUAUACAGUUAAUUAAGACUCUGUAGAUAAGAGCUGAAAUUGGAUUCCAGGGGCCACAGAUGCAUUGAUGAAGGAACUGAGCGAGAAAUAACAGAUAUUUAGAAGAAGGGGGUUCGUGGGGUCCAUCUAACAUGCACUAUUUCAGAAAAUGUUUCCCCAAUUUUAAAAUAUCACAGAACUUUUCAUCUUCCUAAUUCACCCAUGAUUUAUUAUUAUUAUUAGUCUUUAUUUUUUUAUUUUUUCUUAGAAUAAGAAAUAUUCGUCAAAGAAAAAAAAAACAAGAAGAAUUUAGUAUUCGCUGGUUAAUUGCAUAUUAAUUAUGGCAGAUUAAAUAAAACGUGUGACUUGGGAAUUAAAUUGGUCAUGUAAAUCUAAGAUCCUGCAC